AUUGAACGCUGGCGGCAGGCCUAACACAUGCAAGUCGAACGGUAACAGGAAACAGCUUGCUGUUUCGCUGACGAGUGGCGGACGGGUGAGUAAUGUCUGUGAAACUGCCUGAUGGAGGGGGAUAACUACUGGAAACGGUAGCUAAUACCGCAUAACGUCGCAAGCCCAAAGAGGGGGACCUUCGGGCCUCUUGCCAUCGGAUGUGCCCAGAUGGGAUUAGCUAGUAGGUGGGGUAACGGCUCACCUAGGCGACGAUCCCUAGCUGGUCUGAGAGGAUGACCAGCCACACUGGAACUGAGACACGGUCCAGACUCCUACGGGAGGCAGCAGUGGGGAAUAUUGCACAAUGGGCGCAAGCCUGAUGCAGCCAUGCCGCGUGUAUGAAGAAGGCCUUCGGGUUGUAAAGUACUUUCAGCGGGGAUGAAGGGAGUAAAGUUAAUACCUUUGCUCAUUGACGUUACCCGCAGAAGAAGCACCGGCUAACUCCGUG
rnacentral:rRNA from 1 species